rnacentral:rRNA from 1 species
AACGAACGCUGGCGGCAGGCUUAACACAUGCAAGUCGAACGCCCCGCAAGGGGAGUGGCAGACGGGUGAGUAACGCGUGGGAACAUACCCUUUUCUACGGAAUAGCUCUGGGAAACUGGAAUUAAUACCGUAUACGCCCUACGGGGGAAAGAUUUAUCGGGGAAGGAUUGGCCCGCGUUGGAUUAGCUAGUUGGUGGGGUAAAGGCCUACCAAGGCGACGAUCCAUAGCUGGUCUGAGAGGAUGAUCAGCCACAUUGGGACUGAGACACGGCCCAAACUCCUACGGGAGGCAGCAGUGGGGAAUAUUGGACCAUGGGCGCAAGCCUGAUCCAGCCAUGCCGCGUGAGUGAUGAAGGCCUUAGGGUUGUAAAGCUCUUUCACCGAUGAAGAUAAUGACGGUAGUCGGAGAAGAAGCCCCGGCUAACUUCGUG